rnacentral:rRNA from 1 species
GACGAACGCUGGCGGCGUGCCUAAUACAUGCAAGUCGAGCGGACUUUCAAGACGCUUGCUUUUUGAAAGUUAGCGGCGGACGGGUGAGUAACACGUGGGCAACCUGCCUGUAAGACGGGGAUAACUCCGGGAAACCGGGGCUAAUACCGGAUAAUAUCUUUCUUCGCAUGAAGGAAGGUUGAAAGGCGGCGCAAGCUGCCGCUUGCAGAUGGGCCCGCGGCGCAUUAGCUAGUUGGUGAGGUAACGGCUCACCAAGGCGACGAUGCGUAGCCGACCUGAGAGGGUGAUCGGCCACACUGGGACUGAGACACGGCCCAGACUCCUACGGGAGGCAGCAGUAGGGAAUCUUCCGCAAUGGACGAAAGUCUGACGGAGCAACGCCGCGUGAGCGAAGAAGGUCUUCGGAUCGUAAGGCUCUGUUGUCAGGGAAGAACAAGUACCGUUCGAAUAGGGCGGUACCUUGGCGGUACCUGACCAGAAAGCCACGGCUAACUACGUGCCAGCCGCCGCCGUAA